rnacentral:lncRNA from 1 species
CAAUACGGUGUUCGCUCUCUCCUCUCUCACACACGUUCUAGACGAAUCCAGAGAAAAAAUGAAUCUUCUCUCUCUGAUUUCCCCUUUGGCAAGCACAAAUUCUCCAAUGAAAGAGGAGCAGGAACAUCGAUUCGCCUUCAGAUUAAAUCAGUGUUUGUUUGUGAUAAACAGUGUGAGAAGAAUUGAUCAAGUGUAUUGUAAUUAGGGUUUAGUUGUUCGGUUUAGGGUUGGGUUCAGAUGUUGAUGUCUGGAUAUUUGUCGAUGAAGAGGAAGAGGAAGGACCUCGAAGAGGUCAACGACGACUUCUCCGACUCCUCUCCCGCCAGAAAAAUCCGUAGAUUGUACUCUCUAUCUCUUUCCGUUCUCUGUAUACGAUUGGGUAUAUAUAUGCAUAUGUUUUUGCAGUACACUCUGUUUAAUUUUUUUUUUGGGUGACAUUUUCGAAACUUGAGUUCUGUUUUCUUUUUGGAAAUGAAGUCUCUUUUUUUUUUUAAAUAGAAGAUUAAAAAAAUAUUUUCAAACUCUCUAAAGUUGUUUUCGAAACCAAUGAGUUUGCAUUUUCAAAAACAGUUUUUGAAAAUUGUUGUGCAAAUGUACUUUCAUGAUUUCAGCUAUUUGAUUGGGCAAAAUUACGGAUUUUCUGCUAUUUUCUCAUUAAUCCUAAGGAAACUGUGACUGCUAUUCGCUUACUUAGAAAGAAAUUGUAAUGCUAUUCGAGAAAUUAAAUUCCAUAAGUUUCCUCGGGAAUCAAACACAUUAUCACUAUUUAUAUUAACUCUCUGUCUCUCUCUCGGCGGUCUGAUCAAAUGGAUUCGGCCAAAUUUGGGUGACUUUUUUUUAAGCUGAUUUAGCUACUUUGGUUUUGAAUUUUUUGGUCUUUAUUAAACAUUUUUAACAGUUUGAUCAAAAUUUUAUACUUUUCCAAUUUAUUUUUUAUGAGAGGAAUCUGAAAAUAUAAUUUUUUUGUUCAAAUUUAGUUUAUUUGUUGAGUAAAAAUGAUUUUUUUGUCUAUAGUAAUUUUUGUUUCAAAUUAGAUGAAAUUUUUUACAUUUUGAUAUUCCUCUCUUAAGAGAAAUAAUUGGAAAAGUAUAUCUUUGAUUAAACAGUGAAAAAAAAGUGAUGAAAAACCAGAAAACGAAAACAGCUAAAUUAUCUAAAAGAAGGCUAGCGCAAAGUUGCUGAAAGCCUAGGAUUCUAUGUUCUCUUUUUCACCCGACUACACAAUGAAAAUUGUUACUGCUAUUUACUUACUGAAACAAAAGACAAAUUUGCUGCGAAAUCAAUCACUUUCUAGCUAAUCAUGUUCAAGCACUCUCUCUCUCUCUCUCUCUCUCUCUCCUCAUCUGAUCAAAUGGCUUGACUCCAUGUCAGGAUGCUGAAUUGCCUCCUAUAAUAGAAGAGGAAGAGACAGAGAUUCAGUGGGUUUUCAAUCAACAGGUGAUGCCUGAAGAGCAUCUUCCAAGCAAUAGAGAACAAGUAGGAGGUUAUGGUCCAAUAAUAGAGG